rnacentral:lncRNA from 1 species
AAAGGAGCAAGGCUCCCAGAGAAAAGCUUGGCCAGGAAUUUCCAAUCCAGUGUUACUUAUUGAGCUCCUGGGUGCCUCUUCCUGGGUCUGCCAACCAAGUGGAUGAGCUUCAGAGAGUCCAGAGAAGCACACGAGAUGUUUACACGCUAAUAAGAGAGCACAGCAGAUAGUUACCGAUCAUGUACCCUGUACCAGAUGCCAUGCUUAGGGUCAAAGAAGGAUCAAAACAAAAGCAUCCUUGCCUCCGAGGGACUUGCUGAAGCCUGAAGAGCAGGUGCUUGCACGGAAGCAUAAGUGGAGGGAAGUACAGUGACAAGGGGCCUAGGUCCAGCCGCCA